rnacentral:rRNA from 1 species
GAUGAACGCUGGCGGCGUGCCUAAUACAUGCAAGUCGAGCGAACAGACAAGGAGCUUGCUCCUUUGACGUUAGCGGCGGACGGGUGAGUAACACGUGGGUAACCUACCUAUAAGACUGGGAUAACUUCGGGAAACCGGAGCUAAUACCGGAUAAUAUUUCGAACCGCAUGGUUCGAUAGUGAAAGAUGGUUUUGCUAUCACUUAUAGAUGGACCCGCGCCGUAUUAGCUAGUUGGUAAGGUAACGGCUUACCAAGGCGACGAUACGUAGCCGACCUGAGAGGGUGAUUGGCCACACUGGAACUGAGACACGGUCCAGACUCCUACGGGAGGCAGCAGUAGGGAAUCUUCCGCAAUGGGCGAAAGCCUGACGGAGCAACGCCGCGUGAGUGAUGAAGGUCUUCGGAUUGUAAAACUCUGUUAUUAGGGAAGAACAUACGUGUAAGUAACUAUGCACGUCUUGACGGUACCUAAUCAGAAAGCCACGGCUAACUACGUGCCAGCAGCCGCGGUAAUACGUAGGUGGCAAGCGUUAUCCGGAAUUAUUGGGCGUAAAGCGCGCGUAGGCGGUUUUUUAAGUCUGAUGUGAAAGCCCACGGCUCAACCGUGGAGGGUCAUUGGAAACUGGAAAACUUGAGUGCAGAAGAGGAAAGUGGAAUUCCAUGUGUAGCGGUGAAAUGCGCAGAGAUAUGGAGGAACACCAGUGGCGAAGGCGACUUUCUGGUCUGUAACUGACGCUGAUGUGCGAAAGCGUGGGGAUCAAACAGGAUUAGAUACCCUGGUAGUCCACGCCGUAAACGAUGAGUGCUAAGUGUUAGGGGGUUUCCGCCCCUUAGUGCUGCAGCUAACGCAUUAAGCACUCCGCCUGGGGAGUACGACCGCAAGGUUGAAACUCAAAGGAAUUGACGGGGACCCGCACAAGCGGUGGAGCAUGUGGUUUAAUUCGAAGCAACGCGAAGAACCUUACCAAAUCUUGACAUCCUUUGACAACUCUAGAGAUAGAGCCUUCCCCUUCGGGGGACAAAGUGACAGGUGGUGCAUGGUUGUCGUCAGCUCGUGUCGCGAGAUGUUGGGUUAAGUCCCGCAACGAGCGCAACCCUUAAGCUUAGUUGCCAUCAUUAAGUUGGGCACUCUAAGUUGACUGCCGGUGACAAACCGGAGGAAGGUGGGGAUGACGUCAAAUCAUCAUGCCCCUUAUGAUUUGGGCUACACACGUGCUACAAUGGACAAUACAAAGGGCAGCGAAACCGCGAGGUCAAGCAAAUCCCAUAAAGUUGUUCUCAGUUCGGAUUGUAGUCUGCAACUCGACUACAUGAAGCUGGAAUCGCUAGUAAUCGUAGAUCAGCAUGCUACGGUGAAUACGUUCCCGGGUCU